GACACCCUGCAGUGUUCGUGGUGCCUUAAAACAUAGCUCUUUGCCUUAGAAUCAAAUCGGGAGCCGAAAACGUCGUGAAUGCUGCUAGGCCGUAAAUCGGAAAGCAAAAGACACGGCGCAGGCGCCCACUUUAACAUAAAAAGGUCCCGAGCCUUUGGGCAUACGGCACAGGUGGGGUGUCA
rnacentral:other from 1 species